GGGGGUAUAGCUCAGGUGGUAGAGUGCUUACCUUGCAUGUAUAAGGCCCCAGGUUCAAUCCCCAGCACCACCC
rfam:Ictidomys tridecemlineatus contig055099, whole genome shotgun sequence.